rnacentral:rRNA from 1 species
ACUAACAAGGAUUCCCCUAGUAACUGCGAGUGAAGCGGGAAGAGCUCAAAUUUAAAAUCUGGCGCAAGCCCGAGUUGUAAUCUAUAGAAGCGUUUUCGGCCGUUGACCUGGACAAGUCCCUUGGAACAGGGCGUCAUAGAGGGUGAGAAUCCCGUCCUUGCCAGGCUCCCAACGUCCUUGUGAUACGUUUUCGAAGAGUCGAGUUGUUUGGGAAUGCAGCUCAAAACGGGUGGUAAAUUCCAUCUAAAGCUAAAUAUUGGCGAGAGACCGAUAGCGAACAAGUACCGUGAGGGAAAGAUGAAAAGCACUUUGGAAAGAGAGUUAAACAGUACGUGAAAUUGCUGAAAGGGAAGCGCUUGAAGUCAGUCGCGUCUGCAGGGACUCAGCCUCACGGCGCAUUUCCUUGCGGACGGGCCAACAUCGAUUUCGAGCGGGGAACAAGGACUUUGGGAAUGUGGCAGCUUGCUGUGUUAUAGCCCGAUGUCGUACGCCCCGCUUGGGAUCGAGGACCGCGGCUUUUGCCUAGGAUGUUGGCGUAAUGGCUUUAAGCGACCCGUCUUGAAACACGGACCAAGGAGUCUAACAUGUCUGCGAGUGUUCGGGUGUCAAACCCGUGCGCGCAAUGAAAGUGAACGUAGGUGGGAGGCUUCGGCCGCACCAUCGACCGAUCCGGAUCUCUUGUGAUGGAUUUGAGUAAGAGCAUAUAUGUUGGGACCCGAAAGAUGGUGAACUAUGCCUGAAUAGGGCGAAGCCAGAGGAAACUCUGGUGGAGGCUCGUAGCGAUUCUGACGUGCAAAUCGAUCGUCAAAUUUGGGUAUAGGGGCGAAAGACUAAUCGAA